rnacentral:rRNA from 1 species
GACGAACCGACCGAACGUUAUUCGGAAUUACUGGGCUUAAAGGGUGCGUAGGCGGCCUUGUAAGUCAGAUGUGAAAUCCCACGGCUCAACCGUGGAACUGCGUUUGAAACUACAAGGCUUGAGGGAGAUAGGGGUGAGCGGAACUGAUGGUGGAGCGGUGAAAUGCGUUGAUAUCAUCAGGAACACCGGUGGCGAAGGCGGCUCACUGGGUCUCUUCUGACGAUGAGGCACGAAAGUUAGGGGAGCGAACGGG